AGAAAUAUGUCUGACAAAAGAGU
rnacentral:tRNA from 1 species